AUGGCGGUCGAAAACGAUGAAACACGAACGAACAGAACCACCGCGAUCGAAGAGGACGACCGGAAACGGCGGUCGAAGAGGAAGACCGGAAACGGCGGCCGAAACGGCGGUCAAAGAAUAUUACCGAAAAGGGGCAAUCGGAAUCGGCCGAAAUGGCGGCCGAAAAGUCGCGGUGAUGGUGAUGAAGACGGUUGGCAAUCGGAAUCGGGCGGACAUGCAGAAUCGGAAUCGGAAGCGAGGUUGAGGAGGCACGGCGCGAUGGAGUGGUGGAAGAAUAACGAUGGAGUUGUAAUUUUUCUACUGUUUGGGAAAUAA